AGGAUUAUAGUUUAACUUAAAACAUUUGAUUUGCAUUCAAAAAAUAUUAAAUAAUUAAUUUAUCUUA
rnacentral:tRNA from 1 species